rnacentral:tRNA from 2 species
GGAGUGGCGCAGUCCGGUAGCGCGCCUGCUUUGGGAGCAGGAUGUCGCAGGUUCGAAUCCUGUCUCC